rnacentral:rRNA from 1 species
AUUGAACGCUGGCGGCAGGCCUAACACAUGCAAGUCGAGCGGAAACGAGUUAUCUGAACCUUCGGGGGACGAUAACGGCGUCGAGCGGCGGACGGGUGAGUAAUGCCUAGGAAAUUGCCCUGAUGUGGGGGAUAACCAUUGGAAACGAUGGCUAAUACCGCAUGAUGCCUACGGGCCGAAGAGGGGGACCUUCGGGCCUCUCGCGUCAGGAUAUGCCUAGGUGGGAUUAGCUAGUUGGUGAGGUAAGGGCUCACCAAGGCGACGAUCCCUAGCUGGUCUGAGAGGAUGAUCAGCCACACUGGAACUGAGACACGGUCCAGACUCCUACGGGAGGCAGCAGUGGGGAAUAUUGCACAAUGGGCGCAAGCCUGAUGCAGCCAUGCCGCGUGUGUGAAGAAGGCCUUCGGGUUGUAAAGCACUUUCAGUCGUGAGGAAGGUAGUGUAGUUAAUAGCUGCAUUAUUUGACGUUAGCGACAGAAGAAGCACCGGCUAACUCCGUGCCAGCAGCCGCGGUAAUACGGAGGGUGCGAGCGUUAAUCGGAAUUACUGGGCGUAAAGCGCAUGCAGGUGGUUUGUUAAGUCAGAUGUGAAAGCCCGGGGCUCAACCUCGGAAUUGCAUUUGAAACUGGCAGACUAGAGUACUGUAGAGGGGGGUAGAAUUUCAGGUGUAGCGGUGAAAUGCGUAGAGAUCUGAAGGAAUACCGGUGGCGAAAGCGGCCCCCUGGACAGAUACUGACACUCAGAUGCGAAAGCGUGGGGAGCAAACAGG